rnacentral:lncRNA from 1 species
UUGGACUAAGCUGGAAUCUGCAAGCAUUCAAUUCAAGAGAGAAGACAAGUAAUAUGGGCUCUAAGUUAAAUAAACAAUCAUGCAUAUAAGAGUCACUAAGCAUUUUCAAUAUAGUCUUCUCGACCCCCAAAAGAAAGGAAAAGAAAUAAAACUAUUUACACGGGAAAGCUCCCAACAAGCAAAAGAAUAACGGGAAAUAUUUUUGGGUUUUCUUUUUAAUUACUACAGCAAAGAAAUAAACUACUACUAAUUUUUUUGGUUUUUUCUUAAGGUUCAUCAAACACACAAGAAGAAAGCAGGAAAAAAAGAAAAUAAACUAGCAUGGAUAUUACAAUGAAAGAGUAUGAGCACCGACACCUAGCAGUGAGUGUGUGUGAACAUGAAUGUAAUGUCGGUGGGAAAUACGUACUCCCCCAAGCUUAGGCUUUUGGCCUAAGUUGGUCUAUUGCCAGGGAUAGCCUGGAGGAUUCUCGUAGGUGAAGUGGGGUCAUACUAUGAUGCAACGGCUAUCGCCGCCUGAGCUAUAGCGUGGAGUCGAGCAGCCUCCGCUCUCCUCUCGUACUCAUCUGCCUCCUCUCUGGUAAUAAUAUAUCUUCCUUUUGUCUGAAAAUCAAAGAAGGCAGGAGAAGGAAGAGCAAUAUGGACUACAUGACGUUUGUUAAAGAUUAGUCGAUACUGGAGAGGUGGUUCAGUCCUCUCAACAAACUGGUGGGAAACCAUAGAAUCAAAAUCUAAAUAUGAUGGGGGUAACUCCAUAUCACCCUCACGAAUGUCUAUCUCAAGAAAAUUAGCUAAGCGGGUUGCAUAAAUUCCUCCAAAGAAAUCUCCGUUUUGUCUAUUCUGAUGCAACCUGCGAGCUACAAUGGCUCCCAUAUGAUAAGAUUGGUCUCCUAACACAGCACUCCUGAGAAUGCUGAGAUCAGGGACACACAUGUGACAUGCUUCAUCCUUAGCAUUUAUGCAUCUACCUAUGAAGAGAGAAAAAUAAUGUAUAGCAGGAAAGUGAAUGCUCCCUAUAGUGGCUUGUGUUAUAUCUCUAGAUUCCCCCACAGUUAUUCUAGCAAGAAAGUCUCUAUAUUCAGAUUUAGGGGGAUCCCUGACAUUACCCCAAGAUGGAAGUUUGCAAGCAGAAGUGAAAUCCUCUAAGUCCAUGGUAUAAGAUUUGUCAUAAAGGUCAAACAUGACUGAAGGAGAAUUACGCGAAGAUGAAAACUCAAACCUCCUCACAAAUGAACUUGUGAGAUCAUGAUACUGGGGGCAUUUGUCAGCUUCAAAGUCCUCAAGACCGGCGUUAGUCAAAUAUGCACUAAAUUCUUCUUUGAUUCCCACUUGAUUCAUAAAAUUUUCCGAAGGCCAUUCACAGGGCCUCACAGGAGCGUCUCUUGGUGGUUCCUCGUCAGCAUCACGUAUUGCAAGUCUGGGACCUUGCUUCCUUGAAGAACCACCUUGGAACAUCCUCCUAGACAUAUUGUUUCCUCUGAAUUUUUUUUGAAAUUUUUAGUAACUUCAAAUAAAAGUGAACCAACUUCAAUAAAAUUGAUAGUAACAACUCCCACAAGUGCCUAGAGCCUAUAAAAAGCAUUGGGACUACUUGGAACCAUAUACAUUUGACAUGCAAGCUCAAGAACAUGGUCACCUAUGCAGCACAAAUUUGCAAUGAAUAAAGCACUAGAACAAAAACUAAUUGGACCAAUGGAGGAGUCACCUACCAAGGAACAAUCUCCCCCAAGCAGUUUUGCGAGAGGUGCUUUGAGCAAGGAGAUCGAAAAUCACAGCAACGGGGGCUGGAACUCGUGCUUGAGUUGGUUUUUCGUGUUUGUGUGAGGCAGAGGAAGAAGAUGGGUGCAGGGAUUAAGUGGAGGAGGGCCACCGUGGGCCCAUGAGGCAGGAGGGCGCGCCCAGGGGGGUAAGGCGCGCCCUCCACCCUCGUGGCCAGGUGGCAGCUCCCCCCGCGGUAAUUUUUGCACAGUAAAUCCUCAAAUAUUCCCGAAAAAAUCAUAUUAAAUUGGCAUGGCAUUCUGAGGACUUUUAUUUUCAGGAUAUUUUUAUAUUGCACGGAUAAGCCAGGAGACAGACAGAAAAAUACUAUUUUACUUUAUUUCUACUAAAUAACAUAAAAUAUAAAGAGGGUACAGAAGAUUGUGCUUCUAGUUUCAUCCAUCUCGUGAUCAUCAAAAUGAACCCACUAACAAGGUUGAUCAAGUCUUGUUAACAAACUCAUUCCGAAUAAUCACGGAACCGAAGAAAUUUCAAAUAACACUAAGUUACCUGAACGGGGAUAUGAAAAUCCCCAACAAUAAGAAUAUCAUACUUUUUCUUGACAGUAGGGAGAGGAAAUUCAAAACCUCCAAAUAUAAUUGAUGGAAUUUUUCCAAUAGAGUUGAUACUAUAAACUUGAGGUUGUUUUCUCAGAAAGUGUACCAUGUGCUCAUUGCCAUUAACAUGAAAAGUGACAUUGCCUUUGGUGCAAUCAAUAACAGCCCCUGCAGUAUUAAGGAAAGGUCUUCCAAGAAUAAUAGACAUACUAUCAUCCUUGGGAAUAUCAAGAAUAACAAAGUCCGUUAAAAUAGUAACGUUCGCAACUACAAUAGGCACAUCCUCACAAAUACCGACAGGUAUAGCAGUUGAUUUAUCAACCAUUUGCAAAGAUAUUUCAGUAGGUGUCAACUUAUUCAAGUCAAGUCUACGAUAUAAAGAGAGAGGCAUAACACUGACACCGGCUCCAAGAUCACAUAAAGCAGUUUUAAUAUAAUUUCUCUUAAUGGAGCAUGGUAUAGUAGGUACUCCUGGAUCUCCAAGUUUCUUUGGUAUUCCACCCUUAAAAGUAUAAUUAGCAAGCAUGGUGGAAAUUUCAGCUUCGGGUAUCUUUCUUUUAUUAGUAAUGAUAUCCUUCAUAUACUUAGCAUAAGGAUUUGUUUUGAGCACAUCAGUUAAUCGCAUAAGCAAAAAGAUGGGUCUAAUCAUUUCAGCAAAUCGCUCAAAAUCCUCAUCAUCCUUUUUCUUGGAUGGUUUCGGGGGAAAAGGCAUGGGUUUCUGAACCCAAGGUUCCCUUUAUUUACCAUGUUUCCUAGCAACGAAGUCUCUUUUAUCAUAACAUUGAUUCUUUGAUUGUGGGUUAUCAAGAUCAACAGCAGGUUCAACUUCUACAUCAUUAUCAUUACUAAGUUGAGCAUCAACAUGAACAUUAUCAUUAACAUUAUCACUAGGUUCAUGUUCAUCACCUGAUUGUGUUUCAGCAUCAGACAUAGAGAUGUCAUUUGGAUUCUCAGGUGGUUCGGCAAUAGGUUCACUAGAAGUUUACAAAGUCCUAUCAUUUUUCUUUUUCUUCCUCUUAGGAGAACUAGGUACAUCAAUAUUAUUUCUCUGAGAAUCUUGCUCGAUUAUCUUAGGGUGGCCUUCAGGAUACAAAGGUUCCUGAGUCAUUCUACCAGUUCUAGUAGCCACUCUAACAGCAUAAUCAUUUUUCUUACUAUUCAUUUCUUCAAGCACUUCUUUCUGAGCUUUAAGUACUUGUUCUACUUGAGUGGUAACCAUAGAAGCAUGUUUGCUAACAAGUUUAAGUUCACCUCUAAUAUCAGCCAUAUAAUCACCCAAGUGUUUAAUCAUAAAGGUAUUCUGUUUUAAUUGUCUACCAAAAUAAGCAUUAAAGUCAUCUUGCUUAAACAUAAAGUCAUCAAACACAUCUAAGCACUGACUAGCAAUUUUACUAGGAGGGACUUCAGCUUUAUCAUAUCUAUAGAGAGAAUUUACCUUCACUACCUAUGUUAGGAUAUCGGGAGGUUCUUCAGUAAAUAAGUAAUUGAGAUCACAUACUUCUUCAACAGGCGGUAAAUUAAGACCAUGUAUUUCUUCAAUAGGAGGUAAAUUCUUAACAUCUUCAGCUUUAAUACCUUUUUCUUUCAUAGAUUUCUUUGCCUCUUGCAUAUCUACGGGACUGAGAAAUAGAACACCUCUCUUCUUCGGAGUUGGUUUAGGAAUAGGCUCAGUAAUUGGCUCUGGAGCUGGCUCAGGAGGUGGCUUGGGAGGUGCCCAAUUAUUUUCAUUUGCCAACAUAUUAUUCAAUAGAAUUUCAGCUUCAUCCGGUGUUCUUUCCCUGAAAAGAGAACCAGCACAACUAUCCAGGUAAUCUCUAGAAGCAUCAGUUAGUCCAUUAUAAAAGAUAUCAAAUAUUUCAGGUUUCUUAAGAGGAUGAUCAGGCAAAGCAUUAAGUAACUUGAGAAGCCUCCCCCAAGCUUGUGGGAGACUCUCUUCUUCAAUUUGCACAAAGUUGUAUAUUUCCCUCAAAGCAGCUUGUUUCUUAUGAGCAGGGAAAUAUUUAGCAGAGAAGUAAUAAAUCAUAUCCUGGGGACUUUGCACACAACCAGGAUCAAGAGAAUUAAACCAUGUCUUAGCAUCACCCUUUAAUGAGAACGGAAAUAUUCUGAGUAAAUAAAGGUAGCGUGAUCUCUCAUUAUUAGUAAACAGGGCAGCUAUAUCAUUUAACUUAGUAAGAUGUGCCACAACAGUUUCAGAUUCAUAGCCAUAAAAAGGAUCAGAUUCAACCAAAGUAAUUAUAUCUGGAUCAAUAGAAAAAUCAUAAUAAUCCUUAUCGGGAACACAAAUAGGUGAAGUAGCAAAAGCAGGGUCGGGUCUCAUUCUAUCUCUAAAAGAUUCUUUACUCCAUUUAACUAGCAACCUCUUAAGUUCAUAUCUAUCCUGGCAAGCAAAAAUAGCUGCAGAAGAUUCAGCAUCAAAAAGAUAACCCUCAGGAAUAGCAGGCAUAUUUUCAUCAUCACUAUCAUCAUCGUAUUCAGGUUCAAUAGUUUCUCUUUCUCUAGACCUAGCAAUUUGCUCAUCAAGAAAUUCACCAAGGGGCACAGUAGUAUCAAGCAUAGAAGUAGGUUCAUCAUAAGUAUCAUGCAUAGCAGAAGUGGCAUCAUCAAUAACAUGCAACGUAUCAGAAUGAAUAGCAGUAACAGGUUUAGGUGUCGCAAGCUUACUUAUAACAGAAGGAGAAUCUAGUGCAAGGCUAGAUGGCAGUUCCUUACCUCCCCUCGUAGUUGAGGGCAAAAUAGUAGUUCGAGGUUAAUCGUACUCUGGCAACUUUACGUAAGGCAGAGUUGGGUUUUUUGGGGUUGAUAGUGGAAAAGUCGACAGAUAAGUCACCCUUACUGUCCCUUUACAGAACCGUACAUGAGAUUUUCACCUCAUACGGCUCCUCGGUCAAUUCUUUCGAAGGGAUCCUUUUCCUCGUUCGAGAGUCUCCGCCCUUCUUCAUCUUUCAAGUUCUUCAUAGUGUCCAGCAGAUAUAAAUCCCAAGUGACUCAAAGAAUAGAGCUAUGCUCCCCGGCAACGGCGCCAGAAAAAGGUCUUGAUAACCCACAAGUAUAGGGGAUCGCAACAGUUUUCGAGGGUAGAGUAUUCAACCCAAAUUUAUUGAUUCGACACAAGGGGAGCCAAAGAAUAUUCUCAAGUAUUAGCAGCUGAGUUGUCAAUUCAACCACACCUGGAAACUUAGUAUAUGCAGCAAAGUGUUUAGUAGCAAAGUAAUAUGAUAGUGGUGGUAACAGUAACAAAAGUAAAGACAGCAAAAAUAAUGUUUUUGGUAUUUUGUAGUGAUUGUAACAGUAGCAACGGAAAAGUAAAUAAGCGAGAACCAGUAUAUGGAAAAGUCGUAGGCACCGGAUUAGCGAUGGAUAAUUAUGCUGGAUGCGGUUCGUCAUGUAACAGUCAUAACAAAGGGUGACACAGAACUAGCUCCAGUUCAUCAAUGUAAUGUAGGCAUGUAUUUCGUAUAUAGUCAUAUGUGCUUAUGGAAAAGAACUUGCAUGACAUCUUUUGUCCUACCCUCCCGUGGCAGCGGGGUCCUAUUGGAAACUAAGGGAUAUUAAGGCCUCCUUUUAAUAGAGAACCGGAACAAAGCAUUAGCACAUAGUGAAUACAUGAACUCCUCAAACUAUGGUCAUCACCGGGAGUGGUCCCGAUUACUGUCACUUCGAGGUUGCCGGAUCAUAACACAUAGUAGGUGACUAUAGACUUGCAAGAUAGGAUCAAGAACACACAUAUAUUCAUGGAAACAUAAUAGGUUCAGAUCUGAAAUCAUGGCACUCGGGCCCUAGUGACAAGCAUUAAGCAUAGCAAAGUCAUAGCAACAUCAAUCUCAGAACAUAAUGGAUACUAGGGAUCAAACCCUAACAAAACUAACUCGAUUACAUGAUAAAUCUCAUCCAACCCAUCACCGUCCAGCAAGCCUACGAUGCAAUUACUCACGCACGGCGGUGAGCAUCAUGAAAUUGGUGAUGGAGGAUGGUUGAUGAUGACGACGGUGACGAAUCCCCCUCUCCGGAGCCCCGAACGGACUCCAGAUCAACCCUCCCGAGAGAAAUUAGGGCUUGGCGGCGGCUCCAUAUUGUAAAACGCGACGAUUUCUUCUCUCUGAUUUUUUUCUCUCCGAAAGCCAAUAUAUGGAGUUGGAGUUUGCGUCGAAGGGCCACCAGGGGGCCCACGAGGUAGGGGGCGCGCCCAGGGGGGCGCCCCCCACCCUCGUGGACAGGGUGUGGGCCCGCUAGUCUUCAUCUUUGGUGAGGAUUUUUUAUUGUUUUUUCUAAGGUGUUCCAUGGAGUUUCAGGUCAUUCCGAGAACUUUUAUUUUCUGCACAUAAAACAACACCAUGGCAAUUCUGCUGAAAACAACGUCAGUCCGGGUUAGUUCCAUUCAAAUCAUACAAGUUAGAGUCCAAAACAAGGGCAAAAGUGUUUGGAAAAGUAGAUACGACGAAGACGUAUCAACGGGGUCCUGUUCAACCACCCCUCCAUGGGCUACUGUUCAUCCAGUCCUCCACCGGCUACUGUUCAGCCAACCCUCCACGGGGUACUGUUCAACCUUCCCUCCACGGGGUCCUGUUCAUCCAGCCCUCCACGGGGUCCUGUUCAUCCAUGCCCAACCGGCUCGAUCGAUCGGGGUCAUGUUCAUCCAGCGGCAACACCACAGGGUCCUGUUCAUCCAACCCCUCACCGGGAACUGUUCAUCCAACCCCCCAACAGUGCUAACUAUUCAUCAAGGGAAGGAGGCAGCAGGUUCGAUCGGCUUCAGUUAGCAGCAGUAGCGAACAAAGGAAUCGCUUGAUCGGGUUCGGUAACGCGUAGCCUGCAGUGCAAUCGAUCGGGUUCAGUAGGCGAACGCCUCGCUCAGGUUUAGUUAGAGUCCAACGCCUCGCACCCACGCACAUACGUGAAGGAAAUAUGCCCUAGAUGCAAUAAUAAAGUUAUUAUUUAUUUCCUUAUUUCAUGAUAAAUGUUUAUUAUUCAUGCUAGAAUUGUAUUAACCGGAAACAUAAUACAUGUGUGAAUACAUAGACAAACAUAGAGUCACUAGUAUGCCUCUACUUGACUAGCUCAUUAAUCAAAGAUGGUUAUGUUUCCUAACCAUAGACAUGUGUUGUCAUUUGAUUAAUGGGAUCACGUCAUUAGAAGAAUGAUGUGAUUGACUUGAACCAUUCCGUUAGCUUAGCACUUGAUCAUUUAGUAUGUUGCUAUUGCUUUCUUCAUGACUUAUACAUGUUCCUGUAACUAUGAGAUUAUGCAACUCCCGUUUACCGGAGGAACACUUUGGGUGCUACCAAACAUCACAAUGUAACUGGGUGAUUAUAAAGGAGUACUACAGGUGUCUCCAAAGGUACAUGUUGGGUUGGCGUAUUUCGAGAUUAGGUUUUGUCACUUCGAUUGUCGGAGAGGUAUCUCUGGGCCCUCUCGGUAAUGCACAUCACUAUAAGCCUUGCAAGCAAUGUAGCUAAUGAGUUAGUUACGGAAUGAUGCAUUAUGUAACGAGUAAAGAGACUUGCCAGUAACGAGAUUGAACUAGGUAUUGGAUACCGACGAUAGAAUCUCAGGCAAGUAACAUACCGAUGACAAAGGGAACAACGUAUGUUGUUAUGCGGUUUGAUCGAUAAAGAUCUUCGUAGAAUAUGUGGGAGCCAAUAUGAGCAUCCAGGUUCCGCUAUUGGUUAUUGACCGGAGACGUGUCUCGGUCAUGUCUACAUAGUUCUCGAACCCUUAGGGUCCGCACGCUUAAGGUUUCAAUGACAGUUAUAUUAUGAGUUUAUGAGUUUUGAUGUACCGAAGGAGUUCGGAGUCCCGGAUGAGAUCGGGGACAUGACAAGGAGUCUCGAAAUGGUCGAGACGUAAAGAUCGAUAUAUUGGACGAUUAUAUUCGGAGUUCGGAAAGGUUCUGAGUGAUUCGGGUAUUGUUCGGAGUACCGGAGAGUUACGGGAAUUCGCCGGGGAGUAUAUGGGCCUUAUUGGGCUUUAGGGGAAAGAGAGACGAGAGGUUGGGCGCCCCCCCAAGGCCUAGUCCGAAUUGGACUAGGGGGAGGGGCUGCGCCCCCUCCUUCCUUCUCUUCUCUUCCCCCUUUCCUUGACUCCUACUCCUAUUACUUGGAAGGGGGGGAAUCCUACUCCAGGUGGGAGUAGGACUCCUCCUUGGCGCGCCCUGCUUGGCCGGCCGCACCUCCCCCUCCAUCCUUUAUAUACGGGGGCAGGGGGGCACCCCAUAACACACAAGUUGAUCUACGGAUCGUUCCUUAGCCGUGUGCGGUGCCCCCUCCACCAUAUUCCACCUCGGUCAUUCCGUCGCGGAGUUUAGGCGAAGCCCUGCGUCGGUAGAACAUCAUCAUCGUCACCAUGCCGUCGUGCUGACGGAACUCAUCCCCGACGCUUUGCUGGAUCGGAGCCCGGGGAUCGUCAUCGAGCUGAACGUGUGCUGAACUCGGAGGUGCCGUACAUUCGGUACUUGGAUCGGUCGGAUCAUGAAGACGUACGACUACAUCAACCGCGUUGUAACGCUUCCGCUUAUGGUCUACGAGGGUACAUGGACAAUACUCUCCCCUCUCGUUGCUAUGCCAUCACCAUGAUCUUGCGUGUGCGUAGGAAUUUUUUUGAAAUUAUUACGUUCCCCAACAGUGGCUUCCGAGCCAGGUUUUAUGCGUAGAUGUCAUAUGCACGAGUAGAACACAAGUGAGUUGUGGGCGAUACAAGUCAUACUGCUUACCAACAUGUCAUACUUUGGUUCAGCGGUAUUGUUGGAUGAAGCGGCCCGGACCGACAUUACGCGUACGCUUACGCGAGACUGGUUUUACCGCCGUGCUUUGCACAUAGGUGACUAGCGGGUGUCUGUUUCUCCAACUUUAGUUGAACAGAGUGUGGCUACGCCCGGUCCUUGCGAAGGUUAAAACAGCACUAACUUGACGAACUAUCGUUGUGGUUUUGAUGCGUAGGUAAGAACGGUUCUUGCUAAGCCCGUAGCAGCCACGUAAAAUUUGCAACAACAAAGUAGAGGACGUCCAACUUGUUUUUGCAGGGCAUGUUGUGAUGUGAUAUGGUCAAGACGUGAUGCUAUAUUUUAUUGUAUGAGAUGAUCAUGUUUUGUAACCGAAGUUAUCGGCAACUGACAGGAGACAUAUGGUUGUCGCUUUAUUGUAUGAAAUGCAAACGCCCUGUAAUUGCUUUACUUUAUCACUACGCGGUAGCGAUAGUCGUAGAAGCAAUAGGUGGCGUAACGACAACGAUGCUACGAUGGAGAUCAAGGUGUCGCGCCGGUGACGAUGGUGAUCACGAUGGUGCUUCGGAGAUGGAGAUCACAAGCACAAGAUGAUGAUGGCCAUAUCAUAUCACUUAUAUUGAUUGCAUGUGAUGCUUAUCCUUUAUGCAUCUUAUCUUGCUUUGAUUGACGGUAGAAUUUUAAGAUGAUCUCUCACUAAUUAUCAAGAAGUGUUCUCCCUGAGUAUGCACCGUUGCGAAAGUUCUUCGUGCUGAGACACCACGUGAUGAUCGGGUGUGAUAGGCUCUACGUUCAAAUACAACGGGUGCAAAAUAGUUGCACACGCGGAAUACUCAGGUUAAACUUGAUGAGCCUAGCAUAUACAGAUAUGGCCUCGAAACACGGAGACCAAAAGGUCGAACGUGAAUCAUAUAGUAGAUAUGAUCAACAUAGUGAUGUUCACCAUUGAAACUACUCUAUCUCACGUGAUGAUCGGACAUGGUUUAGUUGAUUUGGAUCACGUAAUCACUUAGAUGACUAGAGAGAUAUCUAUCUAAGUGGGAGUUCUUAAGUAAUAUGAUUAAUUGAACUUAAAUUUAUCAUGAACUUAGUCCUGGUAGUAUUUUGCAAAUUAUGUUGUAGAUCAAUAGCUUGCGUUGUUGCUUUCAUAUGUUUAUUUUGAUAUGUUCCUAGAGAAAAUUGUGUUGAAAGAUGUUAGUAGCAAUGAUGCGGAUUGGAUCCGUGAUCUGAGGUUUGUCCUCAUUGCUGCACAGAAGAAUUAUGUCCUUAAUGCACCGCUAGGUGACAGACCGAUUGCAGGAGCAGAUGCAGACGUUAUGAACGUUUGGCUGGCUCAAUAUGAUGACUACUUGACAGUUUAGUGCACCAUGCUUAACGGCUUAGAAUCGGGACUUCAAAGACGUUUUUGAAUGUCAUGGACCAUAUGAGAUGUUCCAGGAGUUGAAGUUGAUAUUUCAAGCAAAUACCCGAGUUGAGAGAUAUGAAGUCUCCAACAAGUUCUAUGGCUAAAAGAUGGAGGAGAAUCGCUCAACUAGUGAGCAUGUGCUCAGAUUGUCUGGGUACUACAAUCGCUUGAAUCAAGUGGGAGUUAAUCUUCCAGAUAAGAUAGUGAUUGACAGAAUUCUCUAGUCACCACCACCAAGUUAGUAGAACUUCGUGAUGAACUAUAAUGCAAGGGAUGACGAAAACGAUUCCCGAGCUCUUCGUGAUGCUGAAAAUCGACGAAGGUAGAAAUCAAGAAAGAGCAUCAAGUGUUAAUGAUUGACAAGACCACUAGUUUCAAGAAAAGGGCAAAGGGAAAGAAAGGGAACUUCAAGCAGAAUGGCAAGCAAGUUGUCACUCCCGCGAAGAAGCCCAAAGCUGGACCAAAGCCUGAAACUGAGUGAUUAUACUGCAAAGGAAAUGGUCACUAGAAGGGGAAAUGCCUUGAAUAUUUGGCGGAUAAGAAGGAUGGCAAAGUGAACAUAGGUAUAUUUGAUAUACAUGUUAUUGAUGUGUAAUUUACUAGUGUUUAUAGCAACCCCUUGGUAUUUGAUACUAGGUUCAGUUGCUAAGAGUAGUAACUCGAAACGGGAGUUGCAGAAUAAACAGAAACUAGUUGAGGGUGAGGUGACGAUGCGUGUUGGAAGUAGUUCCAAGAUUGAUAUGAUCAUCAUCGCACACUCCCUAUACUUUCGGGAUUAGUGUUGAACCUAAAUAAAUGUUAUUUGGCAUUUGCGUUGAGCAUGAAUAUGAUUUGAUCAUGUUUAUUGUGAUACGGUUAAUCAUUUAAAGUUAGAGAAUAAUUGUUAUUCUGUUUACAUGAAUAAGACCUUCGAUGGUCAUACACCCAAUGAACAUAGUUUGUUGGAUCUCGAUCGUAGUGAUACACAUAUUCAUAAUAUUGAUGCCAAAAGAUGCAAAGUUAAUAAUGAUAGUGCAACUUAUUUGUGGCACUGCCGUUUGGGUCAUAUCGGUGUAAAGUGCAUGAAGAAACUCCAUAAAGAUGGAUUUUUGGAAUCACUUGGUUAUGAAUCAUUUGAUGCUUGCGAACCGUGCCUUUUGGGUAAGAUGACUAAAACUCCGUUCUCCGGAACAAUGGAACAAGCUACUGACUUAUUGGAAAUAAUACAUACCGAUGUAUGCGAUCCAAUGAGUGUUGAUGCUCGUGGCAAGUAUCGUUAUUUUCUGACCUUCACAAGAUGAUUUGAGCAGAUAUGGGUAUAUCUACUUGAUGAAAAAUAAAUCUGAAAUAGUUGAAAGGUUCAAAGAAUUUCAGAGUGAAGUGGAAAAAUCAUCGUAAAAAGAAAAUAAAGUUUCUAUGAUCUGAUCGCGGAGACGAAUAUUUGAGUUACGAGUUUGGUCUUCAAUUAAAACAAUGUGGAAUAGUUUCACAGCUCACGCCACCUGGAACACCACAACAUUAUGGUGUGUCCGAAUGUCGUAACCGCACUUUAUUGGAUAUGGUGCGAUCUAUGAUGUCUCUUACUGAUUACCACUAUUCUUUUGGAGUUAUGCAUUAGAGACAGCUGCAUUCACGUUAAAAGGGCACCAUCUAAAUCCGUUGAGACGACACCAUAUGAACUGUGGUUUAGCAAGAAAUCCAAGUUGUCGUUUCUUAAAGUUUGGACUUGCGAUGCUUAUAUGAAAAAGGUUUUCAACCUGAUAAGCUCGAACCCAAAUUGGAGAAGUGCGUCUUCAUAGAAUACCCAAAGGAAACCGUUGGGUACACCUUCUAUCACAGAUCCGAAGGCAAUAUAUUCGUUGCUAAAAAUAGAUCCUUUCUAGAGAAGGAAUUUCUCUAGAAAGAAGUGAGUGGGAGGAAAGUAGAACUUGAUGAGGUAACUGUACCUUCUCCCGAAUUGGAAAAUAGUUCAUCACUGAAAUCAGUUCUAGUGAUUCCUACACCAAUUAGUGAGGAAGCUAAUGAUGAUGAUCAUGAAACUUCAGAUCAUGUUACUACAGAACCUCGUAGGUCUUCCAGAGUACGGUCCGCACCAGAGUGGUACGGUAAUCCUGUUCUGAAAGUCAUGUUACUAGACCAUGAUAAACCUACGAACUAUGAGGAAGCAAUGAUGAGCCCAGAUUCCGCGAAAUGGCUGGAGGCCAUGAAAUCUGAGAUAGGAUCCAUGUAUGAGAACAAAGUGUGGACUUUGGUGGACUUGCCCAAUGAUCGGCAAGCCAUAGAAAAUAAAUGGAUCUUCAAGAGGAAGACGGACGUUGAUAGUAGUGUUACUAUCUACAAGCUCGACUUGUUGCGAAAGGUUUUCGACAAGUUCAAGGUGUUGAAUAUGAUGAGAUUUUCUCACUCGUAACGAUACUUAAGUCUGUCCGAAUCAUGUUAGCAAUUGCCACAUUUUAUGAAAUCUGGCAAAUGGAUAUCAAAACCGUGUUCCUGAAUGGAUUUCUGGAAGAAGAGUUGUAUAUGAUGCAACCAGAAGGUUUUGUCGAUCCGAAAGGUGCUAACAAAAUGUGCAAGCUCCAGCGAUCCAUCGAUGGACUGGUGCAAGCAUCUCGGAGUUGGAAUAUACGCUUUGAUGAGUUUGAUCAAAGCAUAUAGUUUUAUACAGACUUUUUGAGAAGCCUGUAUUUACAAGAAAGUGAGUGGGAGCUCUGUAGCAUUUCUAAUAUUAUAUGUGGUUGACAUAUUGUUGACUGGAAAUGAUAUAGAAAUUCUGGAUAGCAUGAAAGGAUACUUGAAUAAGAGUUUUUCAAAGAAAGACCUCGGUGAAGCUGCUUACAUAUUGAGCAUCAAGAUCUAUAGAGAUAGAUCAAAACGCUUGAUAAGAUUUUUCAAUGAGUACAUACCUUGACAAGAUUUUGAAGUAGUUCAAAAUGGAACAGUCAAACAAAGAGUUCUUGCCUGUGAUACAAAGGUGUGAUGUUGAGUAAGACUCAAAACCAGACCAUGGCAGAAAAUAGAAAGAAAAUGAAAAGUCAUUCCCUAUGCCUCAGUCAUAGGUUCUAUAAAGUAUGCUAUGCUAUGUGCCAGACCUAUUGUAUACCUUGCUAUGUAUUUGACAAGGGAGUACAAUAGUGAUCUAAGAGUAGAUCACUGGACAUUGGUCAAGAAUAUCCUUAGUGAGGACUAAGGAAAUAUUUCUUGAUUAUGAAGAUGAUAAAAGAGCCCGUCGUAAAGAGUUACAUCGGUGCAAGCUUUUACACCGAUCCAGAUGACUCUAAGUCUCAAUCUGGAUACAUAUUGAAAGUGGGAGCAAUUAGCUAGAGUAGCUCCGUGCAGAGCAUUAUAGACAUAGAAUAUUUGCAAAAUACAUACGGCUCUGAAUGUGACAGACCCGUUGACUAAGCUUCUCUCACGAGCAAAACAUGAUCACACCUUAGUACUCUUUGGGUGUUAAUCACAUAAGCGAUGUGAACUAGAUUAUUGACUCUAGUAAACCCUUUGGGUGUUGGUCACAUGACGAUGUGAACUAUGGGUGUUAAUCAUAUACAGAUAUGAAUAUUGAUGUUAAAUCACAUGGCGAUGUGAACUAGAUUAUUGACUCUAGUGCAAGUGGGAGUUUGAAGGAAAUAUGCCCUAGAGGCAAUAAUAAAGUUAUUAUUUAUUUCCUUAUUUCAUGAUAAAUGUUUAUUAUUCAUGCUAGAAUUGUAUUAUCUGGAAACAUAAUACAUGUGUGAAUACAUAGACAAACAUAGUGUCACUAGUAUGCCUCUACUUGAUAGCUCAUUAAUCAAAGAUGGUUAUGUUUCCUAACCAUAGACAUGUCUUGUCAUUUGAUUAAUGGGAUCACGUCAUUAGAAGAAUGAUGUGAUUGACUUGACCCAUUCCGUUAGCUUAGCACUUGAUCGUUUAGUAUGUUGUUAUUGCUUUCUUCAUGACUUAUACAUGUUCCUGUAACUAUGAGAUUAUGCAACUCCCGUUUACCGGAGGAACACUUUGGGUGCUACCAAACGUCACAACGUAACUGGGUGAUUAUAAAGGAUUACUACAGGUGUCUCCAAAGGUACAUGUUGGGUUGGCGUAUUUCGAGAUUAGGUUUUGUCACUCCGAUUGUCGGAGAGGUAUCUCUGGGCCCUCUCGGUAAUGCACAUCACUAUAAGCCUUGCAAGCAAUGUAGCUAAUGAGUUAGUUACGGAAUGAUGCAUUACGUAACGAGUAAAGAGACUUGCCAGUAACGAGAUUGAACUAGGUAUUGGAUACCGACGAUAGAAUCUCGGGCAAGUAACAUACCGAUGACAAAGGAAACAACGUAUGUUGUUAUGCGGUUUGACCGAUAAAGAUCUUCGUAGAAUAUGUGGGAGCCAAUAUGAGCAUCCAGGUUCCGUUAUUGGUUAUUGACCGGAGACGUUUCUCGGUCAUGUCUACAUAGUUCUCGAACCCGUAGGGUCCUCACGCUUAAGGUUUCGAUGACAGUUAUAUUAUGAGUUUAUGAGUUUUGAUGUACCGAAGGAGUUCGGAGUCCCGGAUGAGAUCGGGGACAUGACGAGGAGUCUCGAAAUGGUCGAGACAUAAAGAUCGAUAUAUUGGAUGACUAUAUUCGGAGUUCGAAAAGGUUCCGAGUGAUUCGGGUAUUGUUCGGAGUACCGGAGAGUUAUGGGAAUUCGCCGGGGAGUAUAUGGGCCUUAUUGGGCUUUAGGGGAAAGAGAGACGAGAGGUUGGGCGCCCCCACAAGGCCUAGUCCGAAUUGGACUAGGGGGAGGGGCUGCGCCCCCUCCUUCCUUCUCUUCUCUUCCCCCUUUCCUUGACUCCUACUCCUAUUACUUGGAAGGGGGGGAAUCCUACUCCAGGUGGGAGUAGGACUCCUCCUUGGCGCGCCCUCCUUGGCCGGCCGCACCUCCCCCUCCCUCCUUUAUAUACGGGGGCAGGGGGGCACCCCAUAACACACAAGUUGAUCUACGGAUCGUUCCUUAGCCGUGUUCGGUGCCCCCCUCCACCAUAUUCCACAUCGGUCAUAUCGUCACGGAGUUUAGGCGAAGCCCUGCGCCGGUAGAACAUCAUCAUUGUCACCACGCCGUCGUGCUGACGGAACUCAUCCCCGACGCUUUGCUGGAUCGGAGCCCGGGGAUUGUCAUCGAGCUGAACGUGUGCUGAACUCGGAGGUGCCAUACGUUCGGUACUUGGAUCGGUCGGAUCGUGAAGACGUACGACUACAUCAACCGCGUUCUCAUAACGCUUCCGCUUACGGUCUACGAGGGUACAUGGACAAUACUCUCCCCUCUCGUUGAUAUGCCAUCACCAUGAUCUUGCGUGUGCGUAGGAAUUUUUUUGAAAUUACUACGUUCCCCAACAGUACGUGCACGAGAGAACCGUGCAUCACUCGGCCCCCAACCACCCACCGUAACCGGGAACUCCCUGAUAUUUUCCUCGCCCUCGCUUCUACCAUGGUUUUUUCCAUGACGCACAGCCCAAGAAUGUCAUGCAGCUACGUCUCCGGCCCGCCCAGGACAAAACCCAUUUCUGUCAUGAUUUUUUGUCAUAGAAGUAGGAGCCCAUCACAUCUAUGAUGCUACCGGGUUUUGUCACAAUUAUCAUCAUAGAAGUGUCAUAAGUAUGACAGAAAAAAAAUUCGUUCUGCCCAAAAUGUCACGGAUGUGUCUUUUUUUUGUAGUGUAUGGAUAGUUCUUCCUCUAUUGCUUGCACUUCCGUGGACGAGGUCCUCAACUUUAAACAAAGGGGAGGAGAAAAUUUAAAAGAUGAUUGGUAUAGAAUUUGCAUUGCUCAUAAUAGAUCUAUCCGUAAGCAAUCUACUGUUGUGCUUUUGUGUUGUUUUUAUGUUGGCAUCACCACUUGGUAUAGAUUCAUCCUUGAUACGAUUACCGAUGGAAAUUUCUUAAUGAGUCCUCCUUUUGAUGCUCUUAAUGCUAUGGGAAAUUUAGUAGGCUCUCCACCUCUUAUGGUUAAUGAAAUUUUUUUGACUCUUGAGCAUGUUAUGGAAAGACUAGAUGUUAUUGAAAAUAAAAUGCUCACCGAAUAUCAUAUGGAAAUUAUAUACAAAAAUAUGCAUAAUUUUGCUACUAACCUUGGGUCAAAAGCGGGUGAUAUCUUUAAGUUGUUAAAAGAGAGGAGUACCUUAAUCCAUGAAAGAAUAGAAGAAAGUACGUCUCAGAUUGAUAAAAUGGAAGAAAUCUUUAGUAAUCUAAGCACGACUUUUACUACCACUAAAAUUGUUGAGGAAAUUCCCGUAAAAAAUAAGAAAUCUAGGAACAAGGGUGCAUCUUCUAGUAAUAAUGAUAAAGGAGACCUUAAGAUGAUUAGCAUCCAUCCGGAUUUUGUUGAGGUGAUAAAAGAUCCUUUUUGUAAGAAUGAAAUAUUUAAAUUUACUCCUAGGAGUAUUUCUAUUGAAGGUCUUUAUGCUAAAUAUUUUAAGGAUUCUAAGUGUUUGAUUGAAGAGUUGGACAAGGAUGACAAAACUUAGAUCCUUGCUUUAUGCCUAGCUAAGGGCGUAAAACUAUAGCGCUUGUUGGGAGGCAACCCAAUGAAUAAAAUUUAUUUUUGCUUUUUGAUUUUUGUUCUUGAGUGUUAGCACAAUUAUGCUACUGUUAUGAUUGUGUUUUUUGUGUUUUAGUUAAUGUUUGUGCCAAGUAAAGCCUUUAGGAUCUUCCAGGGUGAUAGUUGUUUGAUCUUGCUGAAAAAGACAGAAACUUUGUGCUCACGAAAAUAAUUAUCAUAAAUCACAGAAAAGAUAUUUUGCUCUGAUUCUUUUUGUAGAAUAUUAAUAUACAAAUUAUUCUGGUCGUCCUAAUUUUUUCGAAUUUUGGGAAUUACAGAAGUAUUCGAAAGUUCCAGAUAACUACAGACUGUUCUGUUUUGACAGAUUCUGUUUUCUUUGUGUUGUGUGCUUAUUUUGAUGGCUCUAUGGUUUUCUUUGAUGGGUUUUUGCCAUAGAAAAGUUGGAAUAAAGUAGAUAUAAUACAAAAAAAUAAUAAUAAUUGGUUUGACACAUCACUUAUAGUAGUGGUUUGCUUUCUUUUACUAACGAAUCUCAUAAGGGUUUUGUCGAGUUUUGUCUGAUUGAAGUUUUCAAGUUUUGGGUUAUCUUACGAUGGAUGAGAGAAGGAUGGAAGAGCCUAAGCUUGGGGAUUCCCCGGCAUCCCAAGCUAUUAUCCAAGAAUGAGCAACCAACUAAGCUUGGGGAUGCCCCCGAGUGGCAUCCCCUCUUUCUUCUAACGACCAUCGGUAUUUUACUCGAGACUAUAUUUUUAUUCGUCACAUAUAUGUGUUUUACUUGGAGCGUCUUGUAUGAUAUGUGUAUUUGCUUGUUUUAUUUUGUGUUUUAAGUCAUCAAUCCUUGCUGGACACACCUAUUUGAGAGAGGCAAAAUUAUGCCAUGACUUGUUAGAAUUGCUCUCUAUGCUUCACUUAAAUUUUUAUGAGCAAUGGACUUGCUCUAGUGCUUCACUUAUAUCUUUUUGAACACGGUGUGCUUAGUAUUUUUGAAGAAAAUGCUCUCUUGUUUCACUUAGAUUUAUUUGAGAGUUAGUAAAAUUUUGAAGAAAUUCUAUCUUGCUUCACUUAAAUUAUUUUGAGAGAAAGAAAAUAUGUUAUGCUCAUGAUCUUCACUUAUAUUUGUUUGAGCUUAUGAAAAGCAACACAUGAAAAUUAGUCCCAAAGUGAUAGAUAUCCAAGAAGGAUAAAGAAAGAAAAAUAUAUGUCAUGAAGAUCAUUGGACAAAAUAAACUUGAUUCUUAGUAAUAGUUCUGAGAUAUAAUGAUGUGAUAUGUCAGUCAUGUUGGUGAGUAAUUGUGCGCUAGUUGGAAUAUUGGUGUUAAGGUUUGUGAUUCCCUGUGCAUGCACAAAAGUCAAUCAUGCAAUGAAAAUUAUAUCCUACUUGUGGUGAAUUAUUCGGUGUUAAUUAUGCUCAAUGCUUGCUUAUGAGAUUAUUCGUUUCUUGGUUGGUCGCUUCUCAAUCUUUUUGCUAGCCUUCAUUUUGCACCAAGUAUGACCUCUACUUGUGCAUCCAAAAUCCUUUAAACCAGUUUUGCCACAUGAGUCCACUAUAUCUACCUAUAUGUGGUAUUCUUUUGCCAUUCUAAGAAAAUUUGCAUGUGCCAUCUCUAAUUUUCAAAAUGAACUUCUCUUUUGUGUGUUUGUUUCGCUCGCAAAACGGUAACGGGUAGCUAAUAUUUUCCAUGCUAGAUGUGUUAUUCUCAUGAUGAUUUUUUAUUCACUUGUCAUUGCACGAGAGUAAGGCAAAGGUAUUAGGGAUGCCUAGUCCCAAAAUGCAAAAAUGAAUUUACUUUAUGUUGUCAAAUAAUAAAUUCCUUGGAAAGUGUUGGUAUGGAGGGAACCCGUGGAUACGGCUAGCCAUGGAAAGUGAAAGUUAUGGUGAAAAAAGGAAUAAACUUUAUUUUCUGUUUAGGAACCGCCUAUGAUAUAUCUAGCAUGGAAAGUGUUGGGAUGCUCCAAGUCGUUUUCGUUGGUGGGAUGGAUACACCUCCCAAAAUGUUUUUAUCUCUAUUUUUUUUCUCUUUGAGCUCUGGCACCUCUACAAAUCCCUACUUCCCUCUGCGAAGGGCCUUUCUUUUACUUUAUGCAAUUUUUAUUUUUGAAAUUGAGUCUCCAUCCUCUCUUGUAAAAGCACCAACUAGGGGACAAUAUGAUCGUACUUAAGUAUUGGGUGUAGCUAAUAUUCGAGUUUGUUUCAUGAAUGGAUCAAUGUUUGAGCAUGAUGGGCUAGGGAUAACUUGUUUAACAUUGAUAUUUUGAAAGACACGGUUGCUUGUUGAUAUGCUUGAGUAUCUAAAUUAUUAUGUCAAAACUAGACUAUUUCUUUGAAUCACAUAAAGGUCCAAAUGUCCAUGCUAUGAAAAAGAGAAUAUGAUAUGACAUGAUAAACAACACCCCACAUCAAAAAUUCUGUUUUAUCACUUACCUACUCAAGGACAAGCAGGAGUUAAGCUUGGGGAUGCUGAUACGUCUCCAACGUAUCUAUAAUUUUUUAUUAUUCCAUGUUGUUUUAUUAUCAAUCUUGGAUGUUUUAUAAUCAUUAUAUAGUCAUUUUAUAUCAUUUUUUGGUACUAACCUAUUGACAUAGUGCCAAGUGCCAGUUGUUGUUUUCUAAAUGUUUUUUACAUCGCAGGAAAUCAAUAUCAGAAGGGGUCCAAAUACCACGCCAAUUUAUGAUGAUUUUUUAUGGACCAGAAGGAACACAAUGGGCCCUGGUUGCACCUGGGGAGAGUCCCGAGGAGGAGACAACCCACCUGGGCAUGCUAGGAGGCCCAGGCGCGCCCAGGUGGGUUGUGCCCACCUCGGGUGCCCCCUGGACCGACUCUUUGCUUUAUAAAUACCCCAAUAUUCCAAAAACCCUAAAGGAGUCGACGAAAUUUUCAUCCAGCCGCCGCAGAGUCCAGAACACGGAGAUCCAAUCUAGACACCAUCACAGAGGGGUCACCACUUCCAUUGGUGCCUCUCCGAUGAUGCGUGAGUAGUUCUUUGUAGACCUUCGGGUCCGUAGUUAGUAGCUAGAUGGCUUCCUCUCUCUCUCUUGAUUAUCAAUACAAUGAUCUUUUGGAGAUACAUAUGAUGUAAGUCCUUUUUGCGGUGUGUUUGUUGGGAUCUGAUGAACUUCGAGUUUAUGAUCAGUUAUAUCUUUUUAUAUCCAUGAAAGUUAUUUGAGUUCUUUGAUCUCUUAUAUGCAUGAUCUCUUAUAGCCUCGUAUUUCUUCUCCGAUAUUUGAGUUUUGUUUGGCCAACUUGAUCUAUUUAUCUUGCAAUGGGAAGAGGUGCCUGAUAGUGGGUUCGAUCUUACGGUGCUUGAUCCCAGUGAUAGAAAGGGAACCAACACGUAUGUAUCGUUGCUACUAAGGAUAAAAAGACGGGAUCCAUAUCUGCUGCAAUAGAUAAAAGGAUCUUGUAUACAUCAUGUCAUUGUUCUUAUUGCAUUACUCCGUUUUUCCAUGAACUUAAUACACUAGAUGCAUGCUGGAUAGCGGUCCAUGUGUGGAGUAAUAGUAGUAGAUGCACGCAGGAGUCGGUCUACUAAUCUUGGACGUGAUGCCUAUAUAAUGAUCAUUGCCUGGAUAUCGUCAUGAUUAUUUGAAGUUCUAUCAAUUGCCCAACAGUAAUUUGUUCACCCACCGUUUGCUAUUUUUCUCAAGAGAAGCCACUAGUGAAACCUACAGGCCCCGGGUCUUCUUUCACAUAUAUUAGCCUUGCGUUCUACUUUUUCCUUGCAUUUAUUUUUAGAUCUAUUAAACUAAAAAAUACAAAAUACCUUGUUGCAAUUUAUUUGUUCCGCGGUCUAUUUAUCUCAUCUACAAAUUUACCUCACGUCCUUUGCCUAUCUUGAGGCGCCGUACCCCGAAAGAGAUUGACAACCCCUUUAACACAUCAGGUUGCGAGGUGUUGUUAUUUGUGUGCAGGGGCUGUCUUACAUUGUGUUGCUUGGUUCUCCUACUGGUUCGAUAACUUUGGUUUCAUAUCUGAGGGAAAUACCUACCACCGCUGUGCUGCAUCAUCCCUUCCUCUUUGGGGGAAAAACCGAUGUAGCUUCAAGCGACAUCAGUUAGUUGCGGGAUGAUGCAUUACAGAACGAGUAAAGAGACUUGCCGGUAACGAGAUUGAACUAGGUAUGAAGAUACCGAUGAUCGAAUCUCGGGCAAGUAACAUACUGAUGACAAAGGGAACAACGCAUGUUGACAUAGCGGUUCGACCGAUAAAGAUCUUCGUAGAAUAUGUAGGAACCUAUACGAGCAUCUAGGUUCCGCUAUUGGUUAUUUACUUGAGAGGUGUCUCGGUCAUGUUUACAUAGUUCUCGAACCCGUAGGGUCCGCACUCUUAACCUUCGAUGACGAUAUGUAUUAUAUGAGUUAUGUGUUUUGGUGACCUAAGGUUGAUCGGAGUCCCGAAUGAGAUCACGGACAUGACGAGGAGUCUCGAAAUGGUCGAGAGGUAAAGAUUGAUAUAUUGGAAGGUGGUAUUCGGACACCGGAAUGGUUUCGAAGUGUUUCAGGUAUUUAUCGGAGUACCGAGGGGUUACCGGAACCUCCCGGGGGAAGUAAUGGGCCAUAUGGGCCAUACGGGAGAGGCAAGGCAGCCCACAAGAGGGUGGCACGCGCCCCCAUGGGGAGUCCGAAUUGGACAAGGGGAGGGGGCGCGACCCCCCUUUCCUUCUCCCUCUCCCUCUCCUUCCCCCAUUCUCCCUCCGUUAGAAGGAAGGGGGGGCAAUACGACUAGGAGUCCAAGUGGGAUUCCUCCCCACUUGGCGCGCUCUAGGCCGGCCUCCCCCCUCUCCCUCCUUUAUAUAUGGGAGGGGGCGCUCCUAGGAGACACACCAAUUUGCUCUUAGCCGUGUGCGGCGCCCCCCUCCACAGUUGACGCCUUCGGUCAUAUUCUCGCGGUGCUUAGGUGAAGCUCUGCCCAGAUCACAUCACCGUCACCGUCACCACGCCAUCGUGCUGACGGAUCUCAUCUACUCCUUUGACCCUCUGCUCGAUCAAGAGCUCGAGGGACGUCAUCGCGCUGAACGUGUGUAGAACUCGGAGGUGUCGUACGUUCGGUACUCGAUCAGUCAGAACAAGAAGACGUUUGACUACAUCAACCGCGUUGAGCAAACGCUUCCGCUUUCGAUCUACGAGGGUACGUGGACACACUCUCCCCCUCUCGUUGCUAUGCAUCUCCUAGAUAGAUCCUGCGUGAACGUAGGAAUUUUUUUGAAAUUGCAUGCUACGUUUCCCAACACCCUCCCCCUCCCCGCACGCUAGGAUUAAAAAUGGCCAUCCGCCAUUGCUGACGCGUGGGCCCGCGAUCUGCGGUCGUGAUAAAUAAAGACGCGGGAGGUAGUUGACCGGUCGCCAUGUGGGGACGCAGCAGACAAUGAGAGGACGCAUGGCAUGUCCGCUUCGCGUCCGCGUUGAUGCAUUUCAGGCCGAAAUUUGGGCCAAAAAUGGGUUGGCGCAGACGCGAAGCAGACACGUUUUGACAAUGGGUCGGCGCGUUGGGCCAACACUUUUGUCCGCGACGACCCAAACGCACAACGGUGGACGAAACGGGUCGCCGCGUUGGAGUUGCUCUCAGGAUAGGGCCGGAACGGUUUUUCACUAAAUGUUUGAAAAUCUGCCAUGUUUAUAUGAACGUCGUCCGGUUUAUAUGAAAUCCGUUGUUUUACAUGAAUUUUGUCCGGUUAGUUCAAUUAGUUGUUGAAAUAUAUGCCGGCAACGUUGGAUGACGGUCUUAAACAUCAAUGUCGGUGGACUGGUCCCCUAUUCGUGGACGAAUGCCGAAACAAAUUGGUAGGUUAACGUUGGAGAUGCCCUGAUAAAACUGUUGCUAUUUGCGAUAAUUCAUUUCUGAGCCCAGACUCAUCUGCACCCGUGCCGACAAAAAAAUUCAAAACAAAUACUAGAAAAAUUCAAACAAUUCCAAACUUUUUUGUGUAAUAGAUCAUUUAAUGCGUGUGGUUCGCUCCAAUUUUCAAAUCAUUUGAAAAUCUCAGCAGCUCUCGGCAAAAAAUACAAAUUUGGGGUAUGUAAAAAAGUUUACUGUUCACGCACUGUUUUGGCCUGAUUUGUCUUUUUUGCUGAGAGCUGCUCAGAUGUUCAAAUGAUCUCAAAAUUGAAGCGAACCUCACACAUCAAAUUAUCUACUACACAAAAAUAAUCAGAAUUUUUGAAUUUUUCUAGUAUUUGUUUUGAAAUUUUUUUCUAUCCGGAUGUAGAUUAGUCUGGGCACCGAAACGCCGCACUCUACUAUUUGUUUAUACUUGAGCUCAGCGAAUGUUUCCAACACCUGCCAGAGCCACCGGCAAUGAGCAGUAAAGACAAAUAACAAAAGGUUACGAUGGUGUGCAGUGAGCAAAUCACAUGAGCAUCGAGAUCCAGUGGCCUCACGAGCUGAACAUUCUUGACAAGAACACAGAAUUACAGAGCGAUGCGCGGUGAAAAGCUUAGAGCAUGCUUGGAUACGUUUUAGUUCCAUGAUUAAAAGUAGUGGGACUAAAACUUGCUAGUCUCACUCAUGCUUGGAUCCAAAUACUAAAGAGAUUAAAAUCUAGUUAUUGAGCAUUUAUUAUCCUCCAAACCCUCCAAUCCAAAACUAAGGAGAGGAAUUAAAUGAGGAGAGAGAGAGUUAAUACAUAUUUUAGUAGGUUUCUCAUGACUAAAAGAUUUUAGAGACUAGUCCUAGCCUCUCUUUAGUCAGGGGUGCUUGGAACUUUAGCCUCUAAAAAAGACUAUUUUUAGUCUGACUAAAAAUAGUCCUUUGUAUCCAAGCACCCUCUUAGAUGUUUACGGGUGACUUUUACUCGUAAUCACCACCUAAUCCGCGCACAGUAGAUCAAAUCAAACGGGACGCGCUAUUCACACCCGUGUCCCCGCCUGGCUACCUAACGGGCAGGGCUACCAGCUCAGUGAGUGACCACACUGACCAAGCCAGAGUGAAGUGGGCACUGAGCAGUGAGCACAGGGCGGGUGGGUGCUUGCCGAAGCAGAGCGAGGAAGGAGCAAUGGGGGUCCGCUCGGCGGCCACGAAGCUGCACAUCCCGCCAGCCCACUCCGCCGCCCGGCGCUCCUUCUUCCUGCCGGUCGCCGCCGUCGCCCUCCUCUGCUCCGCCUCCUACCUCCUGGGCGCCUGGCACCACGGCGGCGGCUUCUCCCCUUCCUCCCCCUCCCGCUCCGUCACCAUUGCCACCGACAUCUCCUGCACCACCACCACCCUCACCCCCUCCACCACCACCACCACCACCGCUCAGUCCCUCGACUUCUCCGCGCACCACGCGGCGGCGGUCGACGCCGUGGCGUCCAGGGCCGCGUCCUCGGCGUCCUCGGCGCCGCGGAGGUACCCGGCGUGCCCGGCCGAGUACUCGGAGUACACGCCGUGCGAGGACGUGAAGCGGUCGCUGCGGUACCCGCGGGACCGGCUGGUGUACCGGGAGCGGCACUGCCCCUCGGGGCGCGAGCGGCUGCGGUGCCUGGUGCCGGCGCCGGCCGGGUACCGCAACCCGUUCCCGUGGCCGGCCAGCCGCGACGUCGCGUGGUUCGCCAACGUGCCGCACAAGGAGCUCACCGUGGAGAAGGCGGUGCAGAACUGGAUCCGCGUGGACGGGGACAAGCUCCGGUUCCCCGGCGGCGGGACCAUGUUCCCGCACGGCGCCGACGCCUACAUCGACGACAUUGGGAAGCUCAUCCCGCUCCACGACGGCUCCAUCCGCACCGCGCUCGACACCGGCUGCGGGGUAAGUUACCAAGCUUCUGAAUCUUAAUUGGCUCUGAUUGCGUAACUAGGUUUAGAAUGGAUUGCUUCCUCGAAACCAGCUUAGUUCUUGUGGUAGUAUUACACUAUUACUACAUCUGGAGUAGUGAGAAAUGGAAACGCGAACAUUUCUUGCUCAACCGAGGUCAAACAGGUCUGUCAGACACUCUCAGAUUGUAGCAGAGAACAAACUGCAGAAUGUUGAAAACAUAUUACAUGGGGUGAAUUAAUUAGUAAUAACACAUUUGUUCAAUUUUUCAAUAUUUGAAUCUGCUUGUCACUUGACUGGUCAGUUCUCAGCUGCCACUCAUUAAAAAAAACUUGACCUGUCACUUUUCAGCUGGUGCCACAAAGUUAUUGGCCCUGUUUGGAUCACGGGGUUAGAGCUAGUUUGGGUUAGUUAGGGGCUCAAAUAAGCCAAAAGUAUCCAAACGGAAAGGGUUAGAGUGGGUUAGUUCCAUCUAACCCAACUAUCCCGGUGAAGAGGUGCUUAUUUGAGUUAGAAUGGGUUAGAAAAUAACUCUAACUCUAACUGUGUUAGAGUCCAAACAGGGCCAUUGACAAAAAUAUCGUGGCCUUUUUUCAACGAAUGCACAGUAGCACAAUUAUGGGCACUGCCAGUCUGCACCUGUGACACCGUUCAAGUGUCGUCUAUCUUUUCAGUAACGUUUUUAGGGUACCUUUUUUUUGCGAUCAAAUGUACCGCCUUCACGUGCAUUCGCUGAUCCGCAUACGGCUGAAUUUUAGUACCACUUGCCUUCACAGACGCGACCUCCUAUCUGAACUCUGAAGUAAUUCCGUAGGAAGAAACUUUCCACUUUCGACCUCAGAACAAGCCAACCGUGGUGGUAGUAUUACGUAGCAUGGGAAUGGCACGUAGUAGUGGUAGUGCUGCAGGUGGCGAGCUGGGGCGCGUACCUGCUCUCCCGGGACAUCCUGGCCAUGUCCUUCGCGCCGCGGGACUCGCACGAGGCGCAGGUGCAGUUCGCGUUGGAGCGCGGCGUCCCCGCCAUGAUCGGCGUCCUCGCCUCCAACCGCCUCACCUACCCGGCCCGCGCCUUCGACAUGGCGCACUGCUCCCGCUGCCUCAUCCCCUGGCACCUCUACGGUACGCCCCACCGUCAUCUCUUCACCGAAACGCAAUUCCAUUCCACCCCUGGUCACUCAGCUCAGGCGUGCGCUGUGAAAAAACGUGCAGAUGGAUUGUACCUGAUCGAGGUGGACCGUGUCCUGCGCCCCGGCGGGUACUGGAUCCUGUCCGGGCCGCCCAUCAACUGGAAGAAGUACUGGAAGGGGUGGGAGAGGAGCAAGGAGGACCUCAACGCCGAGCAGGAGGCGAUCGAGGCGGUCGCCCGGAGCCUUUGCUGGAAGAAGAUCAAGGAGGCCGGCGACAUCGCCGUCUGGCAGAAACCCGCCAACCACGCCGGCUGCAAGGCCUCCCGCAAGGCCGCCAAGUCGCCGCCCUUCUGCUCCAAGAAAAAUGCCGACGCAGCAUGGUAAUUAUUAAUUACAGCACCGCAUCGAGUCAUCAACAUUUUGGUCAAUCAAAUCAAUGGCACACUUACUUACUUACUAGUUUCAUUGUUGUAAUUCACCUCUCACGGUAGGUACGACAAGAUGGAGGCCUGCGUGACGCCGCUGCCGGAGGUCUCCGACGCGAGCGAGGUCGCCGGCGGCGCGGUGAAGAAGUGGCCGCAGAGGCUCACGGCCGUGCCGCCCAGGGUCUCCCGGGGCACGGUCAAGGGCGUGACGGCCAAGGCGUUCCUGCAGGACACGGAGCUGUGGAAGAAGCGGGUCCGCCACUACAAGGCGGUGAUCAACCAGUUCGAGCAGAAAGGACGGUACCGGAACGUGCUCGACAUGAACGCCCGCCUCGGCGGUUUCGCGGCGGCGCUGGCGAGUUACCCGCUGUGGGUCAUGAACAUGGUCCCGAACGUGGCCAACUCCAGCGCACUCGGGGUGGUCUACGAGCGCGGCCUCAUCGGAAGCUACCAGGACUGGUUAGUCCUCUACCACAGGGCACAUCAAUCGUACCACUACAAGGCCCUACCACAGUGAUCACCAGCGGUGUGCCGGUGUCGGCGUCGGCGUCGUGGUCUCGCAAUGGUUUCUGAUCUCGUUGCAUCCAUUAAUUUACUGCAGGUGCGAGGGCACGUCCACCUAUCCACGGACCUACGAUCUCAUCCACGCCGACUCGGUGUUCACUCUGUACAAGAGCAGGUAACAUACAUACAUGAUCCGCAUCAAAACUCCCCUGUAAUUAACUUGCGUCAGUGUUCACCCUCUCUGACGAUGGGCCGGCUUGCGACUCUGCAAGAUGUGAGAUGGACACCAUUCUGCUGGAGAUGGACAGGGUCCUGAGGCCCGAGGGCACGGUGAUCAUCAGAGACGACGUGGACAUGCUGGUGAAGGUCAAGAGCGUCGCCGACGGGAUGAGGUGGGACAGCCAGAUCGUCGACCACGAAGACGGCCCGCUCGUCCGGGAGAAGAUCCUCCUGGUUGCCAAGACGUAUUGGACUGCCAAGAACCAAGACCAAUAGCACCAGUAGUAUAGCAUCUAUAUAGUAUUGCUCAUAAGCACAUUGCUCAGAAGAUCUCAAAGUUGGAUCGCCAUUUGUUGUAGCCCCAUGAACUGCCUAUUUUAUGCUCUUUAUUUAUGUCUUUAUAUAGGAAUUCGUCUCCAAGUAAGUUGUAAAACACAGCAUCAUUUGUAUGUGUCACUUGAUCGCUAAAUUGCAUCAAGUGAUUAAUAGAAGUACUGUUUGCGAGUUACUCCCUCUAUCAAAAUAUAACAUGUUUUUUGAUAC